GACACCAGCUUUGAAAUAAAGCGGAGAAUAAUACUGGCAAACAGAUGCUACUAUCGAUUCUGUUGGCAGCUAAGAAACAAGACCACCCCUCGACAGACUAAAAUUACAGUAUACAAGAUGCUGAUCCUACCCGUGUUGUUAUAUGGUUCUGAGACAUGGGUGUUCUGUAAUAGCCAAUUAAAGUAAAGUAAAUGGGACAAUCUACUUGUUUACCUACGAUGUGAGAGAUAAUCCCUAUAUAUAUGUUGGUGUGUUUAUAGAAAACAAAUAUGCAGUUAAGCAUCAUGUGAAAUAGUGAAAUAAAAUUGGCGAGGGCUGACAUUCCAAUCUUCUCAAAAUAGCCCGAACAUGAAGCGUAACACGGCCCGAAAUUUUGGAACUUUUUAAAUUGAAAUCCGAAAUUCAAUUUAUGCGGCGAAGGCAUUUAUACAGCUAAUUACAGACGGACGUACCCUUCUUUGUUAACUAAAGCUAUAUAAUAUUGUGGAUAUGGCGUAACGGAAUUUCUGUGAUAAUAUGGUGCAAGGCGUAUUAAUCAGAUGGCCGCA
rnacentral:sRNA from 1 species